CACGUAGGCACCAAGCGUUGUCCGGAUUUAUUGGGCGUAAAGAGCUCGUAGGCGGUUCAGUAAGUCAGGUGUGAAAUCUUUGGGCUUAACCCAAAGCGUGCAUUUGAUACUGCUGUGACUUGAGUUCGGUAGGGGAGUGGGGAAUUCCUAGUGUAGCGGUGAAAUGCGCAGAUAUCGGGAGGAACACCAGUGGCGAAGGCGGCACUCUGGGCCAGUACUGACGCUGAGGAGCGAAAGCGUGGGGAGCGAACAGG
rnacentral:rRNA from 1 species